rnacentral:rRNA from 1 species
GGUCUGUGACGCCCUUAGAUGUUCUGGGCCGCACGCGCGCUACACUGAUGCAUUCAACAAGCCUAUCCUUGACCGAAAGGUCCGGGUAAUCUUUGAAUCUGCAUCGUGAUGGGGAUAGAUUAUUGCAAUUAUUAGUCUUCAACGAGGAAUGCCUAGUAGGCGCAAUUCAUCAGAUUGCGCCGAUUACGUCCCUGCCCUUUGUACACACCGCCCGUCGCUCCUACCGAUUGGGUGUGCUGGUGAAGUGUUCGGAUUGGCAACUUAGGGUGGCAACACUCAGGUCUGCCGAGAAGUUCAUUAAACCCUCCCACCUAGAGGAAGGAGAAGUCGUAACAAGGUUUCCGUAUUCAUUUGCGGGUGUCAACCUGAAAAGGGUUGGCAAGUGUGGCAAUCAAUAUUGCCACGCGAGACUGUCAAAUUGCCGGGACAUCCUGUCAAGCUGUUGGUACCGUUUAUGGUGGGAAACCACACUAAACACCUUAGGGAAACUUGAGGGUAUGGUAAGAAUCCAACAGAUAGGGACAAUCGGCAGCCAAGUCCUAAGGGUUGUGACACAACCUAUGGACGCAGUUCAUCGACUAAAUGGCAGUCGGCAAGCGCUACUGCGCAUUGCUUAAGAUAUAGUCAGGCCCCACAGGGAUGUGGUCUGAUGGAGGACGGUGCUUGUUGUGCACCUGAGAGCCAUCAGAAAGCCUUCACGGAGUACUCUCUGUUGUGAGACAGAGAGGGCAGUGCUACUUGGUAGCAAUGCCAGAAGGCUUGGAGCAACCGAGGUGAACCUGCGGAAGGAUCAUUGAAUUAUUAAAACCUCAACGCGAACUCUUUGUUUCACGUCUUUGCUGCCGCGGGGCGUCUGCCGUAAAAAGUUGACGCAACUCGCAACUAGUCAGGGUGUGCUGCCUUGGCUGGGGCCUCAUUGGCGUGCUUAUACACCAGUCUAACCACUGUCAAAAACAAAACCCUGAGGAGAUCGACUGCUAGUAACUGGCGGUCUUAACCAAAGACACUCUCAACAACGGAUAUCUUGGCUCUCGCAACGAUGAAGAACGCAGCGAAAUGCGAUACGUAGUGUGAAUUGCAGAAUUCCGUGAACCAUCGAAUCUUUGAACGCAUAUUGCGCUCGAGCCUCCGGGCAAGAGCAUGUCUGCCUCAGCGUCGGUUUAAACCCUCAUCCCUCUCCUCUGUGAGUCGGUUGGCUUCGCCAGCAUUAGGGGUGGAUCUGGCUUCCCCAAUCAACUUCGGUUGAUAGGGUUGGCUGAAGUACAGAGGCUUAAACAAGGACCCGUUUUGGGCUUCAACUGGAUAGGUAGCACCGGCUUAGCCGACUACACGAAGUUGUGGCUCGUGGACCUUGUUAGGGGCCCAGCAGGAACCGUGCAUGCACGGAUCAAACAUUCGACCUGAGCUCAGGCAAGGCUACCCGCUGAACUUAAGCAUAUCACUGAUGUGCAAGGCAGUCUAAAAAGGACUGCCUAGUCAAGGGCUUUCAUGGCUCUUGGCGACACCAUCAAAUUGCCGGAACACCUUGUCACGUCAUUGGUACCGCCUUCUGAGGGAAACCUCCUGCCAAGGCACCGUAGGGAAACUUGCGGGUAUGGUAAGAAUCCAAUGAAUAGAGGCAAUCGGCAGCCAAGUCCUAAGUGCUUCUCUGGAGUAUACGGAUGCAGUUCACAGACUAAAUGGUGGUGGGUCUAAGGCAUUCCUUGGGCUUAAGAUAUAGUCGGCUCCCACCGAGAGGUGGCCUUUAGGAGGAUUGGGUGCACACAGCCCCUUGAGAGCCUAGAGGGAUGGACGUAAUACUGCAUGUUGCAAGGCGUGCAGGGCGCACACACUGUGUGCCUGUCCAUUGAAGAAGUGAUCACUAAGCGGAGGAAAAGAAACUAAC